UACAGAGGUGGCAAGCAUUGUUCGGAUUCAUUGGGUGUAAAGGGUCUGUAGGCGGUUUGGUAAGUCGGGUGUGAAAUCCCAUGGCUCAACCAUGGAACUGCGCUCGAAACUGCUAUGACUAGAGUUUGGGAGAGGAAGAUGGAAUUCCCGGUGUAAGGGUGAAAACUGCAGAUAUCGGGAGGAACACCAGUUGCGAAGGCGAUCUACUGGACCAAAACUGACGCUGAGAGACGAAAGCUAGGGGAGCAAACGGG
rnacentral:rRNA from 1 species